UAAUAUCUCUCUCUAAUUUAUUUUCAUUCCCUUCCCAGGCCACUAUGUUUAAUUUCAGCCCUACUUUCUCUUCCUUCCUCUCUUUCUCACUUUGGUUCGAAGUUCGUCAUUCAAUCAACCAUUCAUCCUCUCUUCUUCACUCUCGGUUCAUCACUGUCAUUCAACCAUUUAGUCUCGUUCAUCCUCAAUCCGUAAUUACUCUUUUCACGUUCAUCAUUUGCGGUGACGAAGCCAUCGAAGUGGAGUUCACCUUUGAAGGUCACCUCCUUUUCAUUGACGUUCACCUUUCGGAGUUAGGGUUUUUGUUCCGGUGAAGCAGUGAUUCGACCCGUUUCAAAGAAAACUCCAUAGGAGUAAAGGUAAGAGCUAUCCUAGGUUUACUCUUUUUGUUUAACCGAAUGAAGUAUAAAAUUGCUCUAGAGUGUGUAUUUGGUUCGGUUUACAAUUUAAACUUUGAAUGCUUCAAUUAUUUUAUUUGUAAGAUGAUUGGUAUAUAGUUUUCUUAUUUGUGUGUUCUCCUCUUUGUUAUGUUGUUCGUCACACUCCGAAGAAAAAAAAAGCACUGACGGAGGUUCCUCAGGCUUCUUUGUUUUUCUUGGUAUGAUUCGACUCAAUUUUUUUCUUCGGAUUGCGUGGUUUUAUUUAUUGAUUGUAAUUGAAAUUUGUCUGAUAGUGAGAGAGUAUUAUUCAAAACUUGUAUUAUUCAAAACUUGCCAAUCUUAUAUAUUUGUUCCAAGAAACCUAUGGUUAUAAUUGACG
rnacentral:lncRNA from 1 species